GGCUAGGGUAUGUAAUUGAAAGUCUACCGAUAGGACUUAGAUGGCGGAGAGGACUUACUCAGUGGGUUCAUCGCCUGAGGUAACCAUAGUCAACUCCCCAUCUUGUGGUGAUGCAGUACGUGCGUCUUCCUUCCAUUUUGCUUCUGUCUCUUUUGCUUCUUCCUUCUCUAGUUCCAACUCUUCAGCUCUGUUCUUCUUUUCCUAGGCU
rnacentral:lncRNA from 1 species